rnacentral:rRNA from 1 species
CCUCCUUUGUUCUUCAGUGGUUCAUCUUUUCCAAUGGGCGAAAGCCUGAUCCAGCCAUGCCGCGUGUGUGAAGAAGGCCUUCGGGUUGUAAAGCACUUUCAGUGGGGAAGAAAGCCUUGGGGCUAAUACCCUCGAGGAAGGACAUCACCCACAGAAGAAGCACCGGCUAACUCCGUGCCAGCAGCCGCGGUAAUACGGAGGGUGCGAGCGUUAAUCGGAAUUACUGGGCGUAAAGCGCGCGUAGGCGGUCUGAUAAGCCGGUUGUGAAAGCCCCGGGCUCAACCUGGGAACGGCAUCCGGAACUGUCAGGCUAGAGUGCAGGAGAGGAAGGUAGAAUUCCCGGUGUAGCGGUGAAAUGCGUAGAGAUCGGGAGGAAUACCAGUGGCGAAGGCGGCCUUCUGGACUGACACUGACGCUGAGGUGCGAAAGCGUGGGUAGCAAACAGGAUUAGAUACCCCUGUAGUC